UACCGACGGCCCGAGUGGUAGCCACUCUUAUUGGGCCUAAAGCGUCCGUAGCCGGUCCAGUAAGUCCCUGUUUAAAUCCUGCGGCUUAACCGCAGGACUGGCAGGGAUACUGCUGGACUUGGGACCGGGAGAGGACAAGGGUACUCCAGGGGUAGCGGUGAAAUCUUGUGAUCCCUGAGGGACCACCAGUGGCGAAGGCGUCUCACUAGAACGGGUCCGACGGUCAGGGACGAAAGCUGGGGGCACGAACCGG
rnacentral:rRNA from 1 species